rnacentral:rRNA from 1 species
GACGAACGCUGGCGGCGUGCUUAACACUUGCAAGUCGAGCGGAGCUGCGAACGGGUGAGUAACGCGUGAGUAACUGCCCCCCUCUCUGGGAUAACAGUUGGAAACGGCUGCUAAUACCGGAUAGUGGGGGAUGAGUUGGGUGCUAUCCGCAUGUGGGUGGGGUAGUGGCCUACCAAGGCGACGACGGAUACCCGGCCUGAGAGGGCGACCGACCACAUUGGGCUGAGAUACGGCACAAACUCCUACGGGAGGCAGCAGUGGGGAAUAUUGCGCAAUGGGGGGAACCCUGAUGCAGCAACGCCGCGUGCGGGAUGACGGCCUUCGGGGUGUAAACCGCUUUCAGCCAUGAUGCGGUAGUGGCAGAAGAAGCACCGGCUAACUACGUGCCAGCAGCCGCGGUAAUAC